rnacentral:rRNA from 1 species
AUUGAACGCUGGCGGCAGGCCUAACACAUGCAAGUCGAGCGGAGGAAGGGAGCUUGCUCCUGGAUUCAGCGGCGGACGGGUGAGUAAUGCCUAGGAAUCUUCCUGGUAGUGGGGGAUAACGUCCGGAAACGGGCGCUAAUACCGCAUACGUCCUGAGGGAGAAAGUGGGGGAUCUUCGGACCUCACGCUAUCAGAUGACCCUAGGUCGGAUUAGAUAGUUGGUGGGGUAAAGGCCUACCAAGGCGACGAUCCGUAACUGGUCUGAGAGGAUGAUCAGUCACACUGGAAGUGAGACACGGUACAGACUCCUACGGGAGGCAGCAGUGGGGAAUAUUGGAAAGUGGGCGAGAGCCUGAUACAGCCAUGGCGCGUGUGUGAAGAAGGUCUUCGGAUUGUAAAGCACUUUAAGUUGGGAGGAAGGGCAGUAAGUUAAUACCUGGCUGUUUUGACGUUACCAAAAGAAUAAGCACCGGCUAACUUCGU